CGGGCGUGCCUAAUACAUGCAAGUUGAACGCAUUGUGGUUGAAAUGAUAUGAAGAACUUGUUCAGAUUUGAUUUCAACAUUGCAAUGAGUGGCGAACGGGUGAGUAACACGUGGGAAACCUACCUCUUAGCAGGGGAUAACAUUUGGAAACAAAUGCUAAUACCGUAUAAUAAUUAAAACCGCAUGGUUUUAGUUUAAAAGAUGGUCUUGCUAUCACUAAGAGAUGGUCCCGCGGUGUAUUAGUUAGUUGGUGAGGUAAUGGCUCACCAAGACAAUGAUACAUAGCCGAGUUGAGAGACUGACCGGCCACAAUGGGACUGAGACACGGCCCAUACUCCUACGGGAGGCAGCAGUAGGGAAUCUUCCACAAUGGACGAAAGUCUGAUGGAGCAACGCCGCGUGUGUGAUGAAGGGUUUCGGCUCGUAAAACACUGUUGUAAGAGAAGAAUGACAUUGAGAGUAACUGUUCAAUGUGUGACGGUAUCUUACCAGAAAGGAACGGCUAAAUACGUG
rnacentral:rRNA from 1 species